GCCAUCCGAUCAAGCUUAAGAUUGAAUUUCAAUCAUUGAUCAGUGCAAAUCAGUUUAGUUCUCAGCCGCAGCAAACUCUAGCCAUUGGAUCUUAUGAUGGAUUGUGAUUGUGGACCACGACUCUAUGCUAUGGAUCGUGACCCAAAUUCUGUGGACCAAUCGACCGGUCCACUGUACACCAACUGCUUUAAAAAUAGGCUUUGGGCUCA
rnacentral:lncRNA from 1 species